GCCCCCGUGGCCCAAUGGAUAAGGCAGCGGCCUUCUAAGCCGUUGAUUGCAGGUUCGAGUCCUGCCGGGGGCGCGA
rnacentral:tRNA from 1 species